rnacentral:rRNA from 1 species
UACGUAGGGGGCAAGCGUUGUCCGGAAUCAUUGGGCGUAAAGAGCGUGUAGGCGGCCCGGUAAGUCCGCUGUGAAAGUCCAGGGCUCAACCCUGGAAUGCCGGUGGAUACUGUCGGGCUCGAGUCCGGAAGAGGUGAGUGGAAUUCCUGGUGUAGCGGUGGAAUGCGCAGAUAUCAGGAGGAACACCAAUGGCGAAGGCAGCUCGCUGGGACGGUACUGACGCUAAGGCGCGAAAGCGUGGGGAGCAAACAGG